GUGGACGCCAGUCUGCGUGGAGCCGACCUUGAAAUACCACCCUUUAAUGUUUGAUGUUCUAACGUGGACCCGUAAUCCGGGUUGCGGACAGUGUCUGGUGGGUAGUUUGACUGGGGCGGUCUCCUCCUAAAGAGUAACGGAGGAGCACGAAGGUUGGCUAAUCCUGGUCGGACAUCAGGAGGUUAGUGCAAUGGCAUAAGCCAGCUUGACUGCGAGCGUGACGGCGCGAGCAGGUGCGAAAGCAGGUCAUAGUGAUCCGGUGGUUCUGAAUGGAAGGGCCAUCGCUCAACGGAUAAAAGGUACUCCGGGGAUAACAGGCUGAUACCGCCCAAGAGUUCAUAUCGACAGCGGUGUUUGGCACCUCGAUGUCGGCUCAUCACAUCCUGGGGCUGAAGUAGGUCCCAAGGGUAUGGCUGUUCGCCAUUUAAAGUGGUACGCGAGCUGGGUUUAGAACGUCGUGAGACAGUUCGGUCCCUAUCUGCCGUGGGCGCUGGAGAACUGAGGGGGGCUGCUCCUAGUACGAGAGGACCGGAGUGGACGCAUCACUGGUGUUCGGGUUGUCAUGCCAAUGGCACUGCCCGGUAGCUAAAUGCGGAAGAGAUAAGUGCUGAAAGCAUCUAAGCACGAAACUUGCCCCGAGAUGAGUUCUCCCUGAGACUUUAGGUCUCCUGAAGGAACGUUGAAGACGACGACGUUGAUAGGCCGGGUGUGUAAGCGCAGCGAUGCGUUGAGCUAACCGGUACUAAUGAACCGUGAGGCUUAACCUUACAACGCCGAAG
rnacentral:rRNA from 1 species